CAGUCGCCGCGGGAAUACGUAGGUGGCAAGCGUUGUCCGGAAUUAUUGGGCGUAAAGCGCGCGCAGGCGGAUAGGUCAGUCUGUCUUAAAAGUUCGGGGCUUAACCCCGUGAUGGGAUGGAAACUGCCAAUCUAGAGUAUCGGAGAGGAAAGUGGAAUUCCUAGUGUAGCGGUGAAAUGCGUAGAUAUUAGGAAGAACACCAGUGGCGAAGGCGACUUUCUGGACGAAAACUGACGCUGAGGCGCGAAAGCCAGGGGAGCGAACGGGAUUAGAGACCCCCGUAGUCCCUGUCUCUUAUACA
rnacentral:rRNA from 1 species